GGGUUUUAGCAUCAUUAAGACGAGUAGAUCUGGAAGGAACGGAACUGCGCAGGUUACGUCUUAGGACAGCCCGACGCCGACGUUACAGUGUACCAGCUCCCAACAGUGUGUGGCACAUUGAUGGGAAUCAUAAACUUAUUCGAUGGAGAAUUGUUAUCCAUGGGGGAAUUGAUGGCUUUUCCCGGCUUGUGGCGUACUUAAAAGUUGCCACAAACAACAAGGCUCAAACAGUGCUGCAAAGCUUCCUGUCUGCUGUACAAAUAUAUGGUGUUCCCUCUAGAGUGCGUUCUGACUAGGGGGGAGAAAAUGUAAUGGUUGCCCGCUUCACGAUAAGAACCAGAGGAGCAAACAGACACUCACACAUCACCGGAAGAAGUGUGCACAACCAGAGAAUUGAGCGGUUGUGGAGAGAUGUCUUUGACCAAGUAACAGACCUCUUCUACACCACCUUUCGUCGGUUGGAAGAUGAAGGAUGGCAUAAUCUGGACCAGGAAGUGGAUUUGUUUGCCUUGCACUGGUCUUACAUACCACAAAUUCAGAGGCAUCUACAAGAAUUUCAGAGUGCCUGGAAUAGUCACAGUCUAAGAUCUGCUGGCAACAGAACUCCGCUGCAGCUUUGGUCAAAUCAUGA